rnacentral:rRNA from 1 species
AUUGAACGCUGGCGGCAUGCCUUACACAUGCAAGUCGAACGGUAACAGGUCUUCGGAUGCUGACGAGUGGCGAACGGGUGAGUAAUACAUCGGAACGUGCCCGAUCGUGGGGGAUAACGGAGCGAAAGCUUUGCUAAUACCGCAUAAGAUCUACGGAUGAAAGCAGGGGACCGCAAGGCCUUGCGCGAACGGAGCGGCCGAUGGCAGAUUAGGUAGUUGGUGGGAUAAAAGCUUACCAAGCCGACGAUCUGUAGCUGGUCUGAGAGGACGACCAGCCACACUGGGACUGAGACACGGCCCAGACUCCUACGGGAGGCAGCAGUGGGGAAUUUGGGACAAUGGGCGAAAGCCUGAUCCAGCCAUGCCGCGUGCAGGAUGAAGGCCUUCGGGUUGUAAACUGCUUUUGUACGGAACGAAAAGACUCUUUCUAAUAAAGAGGGUCCAUGACGGUACCGUAAGAAUAAGCACCGGCUAACUACGUGCCAGCCGCCGCCGUAAGAC